rnacentral:rRNA from 1 species
CCCUUAGAUGUUCUGGGCCGCACGCGCGCUACACUGACGAAUGCAACGAGCUUAUAACCUUGGCCGAAAGGUCUGGGUAAUCUCCAAAUUUCGUCGUGAUGGGGAUAGAUUAUUGCAAUUAUUAAUCUUCAACGAGGAAUGCCUAAUAAGCGCAAGUCAUCAGCUUGCGUUGAUUACGUCCCUGCCCUUUGUACACACCGCCCGUCGCUCCUACCGAUUGAAUGGUCCGGUGAAGCGCUCGGACCGCGGCCUCUUGACGGUUCGCUGUCGAUUGGCUGUGGGAAGUUCGUUAAACCUUAUCAUUUAGAGGAAGGAGAAGUCGUAACA